UCUAACAUGGCAGAUAAGUGCGAUGGAUUUAAGCUCCAUAUAUAAAGAUUAUUUCUUUUAUUAGAA
rnacentral:tRNA from 1 species